AUACAACAAUAUAAUGACCAUGUCCACAACCUACGCACUGAUAAUUGGGGCUUGGUUUCUUAACAUUGUUCCAUUCACUAUACACCUUAUGCUGACAAUUAGACUUCCUUUGUGUGGUAAAAUUAUUCCCAAAAUUUAUUGUGACAAUUUUUCUGUAGUUAAUCUAUCAUGUAUUGAUACAACUGUGAACAAUAUAUAUGGUCUCUUCAUCACAAUAGCAAUGAUUGUGGGCAU